UCCUGAUUAGCUCAAUUUGUAGAGCGCUUAACUGGAAAUGGAGAGGUUCCUGGUUCGAUACCCGGACCAGGCG
rnacentral:tRNA from 1 species